CUCACCUUGGCCAAGGGACUUGACUACGAGAAGGAAAAGCUGCUAUCCUUGACCAUUAUUGCGACUGAUUCUGGAUCGCCACCUCUCUCAUCGGAGGCCGUUGUGACUGUACAGGUGUGUUACUAAAGUUCGUUAUAAAUCAGUUUUCAUGCUACCAAACUCACCUCUCUCACUUUCCUGAGAGGUUGCGAAACCUAACAGUGGAGCUAGCUGUAUGAUUAUACCUCAGAGUCGAGUUGCUUGAAAGUGCAGCUCAAAGUGGGUGAUAAACUUCACCUAAGGCUAAAUAUAGGCGCGAAUUCGAUAGCAAACGUACUGUGAAGGAAAGUUGCAAAGAACUUUGAAGAGAGAGUUUAAAUGAACGUGAAAUCGUUGGAGUGGAACCGGGGAGAGUUGACGUAACCGAGUAACUAAGUUUCCUAAUGUCGCUUAAUUGUGGCUACAGGUAACGUAUGUUGCCUGUGGUUUGGUCUGCGCAGAGCGUUUUCGAGCUGGGAACAGGGUUUUAUAGAAAUGUGGUCACCCUUAUGUAUACGUGCAUAUCACAUUUACGCAUAUACCAUGCACUUAUACAUACACAUUCGGCGAAUUAUUCAUAAUGCUUUUUUCCCAUCAGUUAUAAAUAUUA
rfam:Haemonchus placei strain MHpl1 genome assembly, scaffold: HPLM_scaffold0000344